AGGAUAAUAGUUUAUUAGAAGAACAUUUAAUUUGCAUUUAAACAGAACUAAUAGUUUACCCUU
rnacentral:tRNA from 1 species